rnacentral:rRNA from 1 species
UACGUAGGUGGCAAGCGUUAUCCGGAUUUAUUGGGCGUAAAGGGAACGCAGGCGGUCUUUUAAGUCUGAUGUGAAAGCCUUCGGCUUAGCCGGAGUAGUGCAUUGGAAACUGGGAGACUUGAGUACAGUAGAGGUGGGCGGAAUUCGUGGUGUAGCGGUGAAAUGCUUAGAUAUCACGAAGAACUCCGAUUGCGAAGGCAGCUCACUAGACUGCAACUGACACUGAUGCUCGAAAGUGUGGGUAUCAAACAGG